ensembl:lincRNA
AUGAGGGAGACUCGAACGAUGGUGCUGCUCCCACCACAAUUUCCAACCUCCCGACUUCUAGAGGAACCGAAGAGGAUAACCCGAUUUCGUCAGGAUGUGAGCACACUGCAGGGAUCGCCCACCUCGAGGGAUUCUGGGCUCUGCUCUGGAAAAUCGUUUCCCUGUGUGCUCUCACUGCGGCUGUGUAAAAACAGGUGUGGGACUCUGAUAGAGGAACAUGGUUAAAAUGCAUCUGCAUUCGGAGCAACAUAAAGUAAAAAUGUGGAAGAAACAUAAAUAUCACAAAUGAGAUCAUACACAAUUUUGUUUCUCUGCCUUUUAAAAUAAACACUUUAAACAACUACGAAAGGAAACUUCCAGCUACUGUGGUUGAGCUUAUUGGUUGUGUGAUUUUCUUUCCUCAAUGCUCAUCUAUGAGCCACUUUUGCUCAAAACCAUUUAAUGACUUCAUUCAUUUUCAUGCAAGAUCGGCAUUUUAAGAAAGCUGUCUCAGAAAGAAGUUCUUUAACCAUUAAGCCCUGAUGCUACAGUACAUUAAAUCUCAAUGUACAAAUAGCCACAUUUGUACCAUGAAAUUAACUAGAGGCAAUCAUGUUCACAGCAGACUGGUAGGCUGAAACGGCUCUCCUGAACCAACAGUUUAUUAGAAUCAUGGUCAUUUAGUGUCGCGCGUAGGCAUCAGAAUUCACAGUUACGACUUUUGCUUUUCUGUUUUAGUGUCCAUUUGUAAAGGGUUUGUGAGCUUGUGCCCAACAGGCAUUUAUUUUACAGCUUGAUCGAAAGCCACAGGUGUGCCAUCCUUUGCAGCUAAUUGCUCCCCGGGCCAACUGGGGCCAUCAAGUCCAGCUGUGGCCCUCGUGGCCAGCUGUCAGCGCCUGGGGCCCUCAAUUCCAGCUGUGGCCCUCAAGGCCAGCUGUCAGUGGCUGUGGCCCUCAAGUGUAGCUGUGGCCCUCAAGGCUAUGGCCCUGAAGGUCUGGGCUGUCCAGCAGGCUCCGUGGAGCCGUGCGUGUGGGAGAAAGCUGCUUUGUGGAAUCUGACCAUCACCCCAGACCCUCACUCUGCUCUAAACUUGGAAGCCACUGUUCCCUGCAGACAUGAUUGAUUUCAGGAGCUGCUUAGGAGCACAAGGCGCUGGCCCACACACUUCACCAUGUGAGAACUUCACGUGAGGACGUUUGCCCUUUCCAUCAAUGCCCAUCAUCCCAAUGGAAAACAAACACUUCUUUGCUACUUAGGAAUCACUUAACAUUUUCAUUCACUUGGCCUGCCUGGCAUGCCCUAACAGGGGAAAUAAAAUGAACAAUUUAGACCACCUUUUAAAAAGGGGAUUGAGCAAAACCAGUGCUGCCUGUUGAUGGAGUUGUUGGGAAUAAGGUGGUGGAAAACUCAGACACCAAAGAGAGAAUCUAAUGUCAGCCAAUGCGUUAGAAAAGGCGGUCUGCAUUGCAACAAGAUAAAACUAGCUUGAUCUUCAGACAACUGUAGUAGUAAAAUGCUUUUACCAACUAAGCUUUUAUCAACGCAUGAAAAUCAUCGAUUGAGCGUGUGAAAUUUAAUAUGCCUCAUUAUUAGCUCACAGGGGGUAAAACACAGCAUAUUCUAAUAUUACCAGUCCAUUCAGCUAAAAACACCCACAUGAGUCACGGGGUCUGUUAUCUCAUUAACACUUUAAAUUCUAUAUUU